GCAAGUCGAACGCUUUGUGGUUCAACUGAUUUGAAGAGCUUGCUCAGAUAUGACGAUGGACAUUGCAAAGAGUGGCGAACGGGUGAGUAACACGUGGGAAACCUACCUCUUAGCAGGGGAUAACAUUUGGAAACAGAUGCUAAUACCGUAUAACAAUAGCAACCGCAUGGUUGCUACUUAAAAGAUGGUUCUGCUAUCACUAAGAGAUGGUCCCGCGGUGCAUUAGUUAGUUGGUGAGGUAAUGGCUCACCAAGACGAUGAUGCAUAGCCGAGUUGAGAGACUGAUCGGCCACAAUGGGACUGAGACACGGCCCAUACUCCUACGGGAGGCAGCAGUAGGGAAUCUUCCACAAUGGGCGAAAGCCUGAUGGAGCAACGCCGCGUGUGUGAUGAAGGGUUUCGGCUCGUAAAACACUGUUGUAAGAGAAGAAUGACAUUGAGAGUAACUGUUCAAUGUGUGACGGUAUCUUACCAGAAAGGAACGGCUAAAUACGUGCCAGCAGCCCGCGGUAAUACGUAUGUUCCAAGCGUUAUCCGGAUUUAUUGGGCGUAAAGCGAGCGCAGACGGUUAUUUAAGUCUGAAGUGAAAGCCCUCAGCUCACUGAG
rnacentral:rRNA from 1 species